rnacentral:rRNA from 1 species
AACGAACGCUGGCGGCAGGCUUAACACAUGCAAGUCGAGCGCCCCGCAAGGGAGCGGCAGACGGGUGAGUAACGCGUGGGAAUCUACCCAUCUCUACGGAAUAACGCAUGGAAACGUGCGCUAAUACCGUAUACGUCCUUCGGGAGAAAGAUUUAUCGGAGAUGGAUGAGCCCGCGUUGGAUUAGCUAGUUGGUGGGGUAAAGGCCUACCAAGGCGACGAUCCAUAGCUGGUCUGAGAGGAUGAUCAGCCACACUGGGACUGAGACACGGCCCAGACUCCGACGGGAGGCAGCAGUGGGGAAUAUUGGACAAUGGGCGCAAGCCUGAUCCAGCCAUGCCGCGUGAGUGAUGAAGGCCCUAGGGUUGUAAAGCUCUUUCACCGGUGAAGAUAAUGACGGUAACCGGAGAAGAAGCCCCGGCUAACUUCGUGCCAGCCGCCGCGGUAAUAC